AACUCAUCCAACUACAUUGAAAGAAAUAAGGGACUCAUACAGCAACAUAGUUUACGAGUUAUAUCUUCCAAAACGUCGAAUUUACAUAAUCCCAUAGAUAUAAGAACAAGUUCUUAUAACUGUGCAUAAUUCUAACUAAUAGAUAGGUACGGUACGGAAAAGAAAAUAUGAUACAAGGUACCUUUUAUCCCUGGCAAAUUUUGGUAAAUUCAAAAGCUAGAAGGUAUAUCAACAAAUUACACCAUUCAGAAGAAAAUCAAUCUUAUUUUUUUAAAGAGUUACCGUACAAUAAUAAUAACUUAAACAACAUUAAAAUGUCAAUUUUUUAUGAUUAGCUUAACGUUUGUUUUUAUCGUCUCUAAAAAUUAAAAAAUAAAGGUCGAUUUUGCUUUGCGUUAAUUACCGGGUUGCUAUAUCGUGUGUGUGACCUAUUUGGAAUCAUUAGCGUCCAUUCAAUGGAUUGACGACCUCUGUGGUUCACCGCUUCCGAAAGAUUGGCUCGAUUCAUUUACUAUCGUAGGUUCGAAUUUAAAACCUAGUUCACCAGGAACUAGGUAACUACCAUGGAAAUAGUAGGUACUCCAAAGUACUUACUAAAUCCAUAGUAACUACGUGUACGGUCAUCCAAUGGCAUAUUAUUAUUAAUAAAUAAUAAUAAGUACGAGCUGCGCCUCGGGGCUUUACUACCGUGGGAAUAGUAGGUAUAAAAAUGAAUAAGGACAAAUAGUAGCCUAUGUGUUAUUCCAGGUUAUAUUCUAUCCAUGUACCACAUUUCAUAAGAUUGAUUAGUAGACUGCCUGAAAAACAAACAUACAUACAUCCUCACAAACUUUCGCAUUUAUAAUAUUAAUAGGAUACUGUGCUAUCAUUCUCCAAAAUAAUACAAUUGAUUAUUAAUUCAGUUUCAUCCGAGUGUUUUCCUGGUCCCUUCCUCAGCCGUUGAAAAUCGGAGCCCAGUGUCCGCUUCCCUACUUUUUACAUUAGCAUGGUAGUCAGCAUUCCUAGUUGUCAGAAUGGUCGUGUUGUCAGACCAAGUUAAUCACAAACAUCUCUGCUGUUCAACUCAUGAAAUGAGUCAUUAUCAUAGUGAUAAAACGUUGAGGAUAAUUUAAAUAAAAACAUACAUACUGGAUCUAAGUUUUAAUGUCAUGUUCACACAUUACACAAAACCUGAAUCAUUCUCAUUUUGCGAUUUUUAUGUUUUUAUUAUACAUAGUUAGCUCCAUAACCUAAAGAGCUAUCUGUGACUAAAGUUUCAUUUUUAAAUCUAUUUUGUUUAAUUUUUAUAAAAUGAGAAGCAACUUUUCUCCUGGACAUGAACCAACAACUUUAGAAAAUAUUAUUUAAAAAUAUUAUAAGGUGUAUGUACUAACACCUUUAUUUAUUAUUAUACAUUAUAAUCUUGGUGAAAUGAAAAUAAUGCAAUAUUUUAUAGACUUUUUUUAUGUAUUAAUGCGCCAUUGCCAAUAUAUCAACAAUAGUGUUAAUACCACACUUAGCUAUACCCUAUAAUCGGCUAUAAUCGAGGACUUGCAAUAUAGUAAGGAUUAGUUCUUGGCAAAGGAGACAAAAAGCAUUGUUUUAAACUGAGAUGGCUGUAUAUAGGGUUUCCAAAGUCACCCAUUAGAAAACAAAUAGGUAAUUGUCAAUCACAGAUCACACAAUUUCAAUUAUAAUAAGUGCAAGAAUGCAAUCAAAACACAUUUAUUAGGAACACAAAACAUUAAAAAAAUUAAAAUUGUUUUGAGACAUGUCCGAUGGCUUUGGAAACCCUAGCAUUUUUCACUUCAUCGGGUGAGCAAAUUAAUAACUAAACCGUCCGAAACAAGUUGAUAGCUUAGUCUGUUUUCUUGUCUGCAGCUUUGGUUUCAGGCUCCUUUUUCUCCUUUUCUUUUUCAUCCUUCUCUUCAAUAAUGGCCUCCUUUGCCUCCUGUUUGGAGGCCUCGUCGAAAUUACCUACUAGGUUAGGUACUUCAUCAUCCUCUUCGAGAGGCUUCGGCGCGGCCACGCUUGACGCCAAUCUCUUCAACUGAUUAAGUCCUUCAGGCCCCAAUUGACUCAGGAUGCCAGGCAACAUUUCAGCGAUUUGCUUAUUCUCUCCAUGUCCUGUGAUAGCGAAAGUAUUCGCCGCGAGCGAUGCUUGUGCUUUUGGGUUGUUGAAAUGUAUCACAGUACCGUCAUCUUUUAUCAUAUUAACUUCCUCUAUGCCAGGUAUUGUGUUUACUGACAGUUUUUUGAGGGAAGACUGCAAUUUCUUGUCGUCUGUGGCGGCGGUGGCAUGGACAACCUUCUUCUUUCGUCGUGGUGUGCCCUUACCUCCAAUGCGCACUUGUGAUUGCAAUUUCUUCAGCUUUUCGGUAUUCAUUUUGUGAUUUUAACACGUACUACCUGUCAAAGGAAACACGACACACUUUUUAGUAAUGUUUGUUGAUAAUAUUAAUCGCGAACACACGAGUUUUCCAUGUAACUAGAUGAUACGCACGUGUUUUGAACACCGGUAAGUUACAAAGGGAAAA